CCUACGGGUGGCAGCAGUGAGGAAUAUUGGUCAAUGGGCUUACGCCUGAACCAGCCAAGUAGCGUGCAGGAUGACUGCCCUAUGGGUUGUAAACUGCUUUUAUACGGGAAUAACGCGCCUUACGUGUAGGGCUUUGCAUGUACCGUAUGAAUAAGGACUGGCUUAUUCCGUGCCAGCAGCCGCGGUUAUAAGGAAGGUCCGGGCGUUUUCCGGAUUUAUUGGGUUUAAAGGGAGCGUAGGCCGCAAGUCAAGCUUGCUGUGAAAUGUCCGGGCUCAACCCGGGCCUUGCAGCGCGAACUGGCGUGCUUGAGUCCGCGGAAAGCAGGCGGAAUUCGUGGUGUAGCGGUGAAAUGCUUAGAUAUGACGAAGAACCCCGAUUGCGAAGGCAGCUUGCUGCAGCGGAACUGACGCUGAUGCUCGAAAGCGCGGGUAUCGAACAGGAUUAGAUACCCCUGUAGUC
rnacentral:rRNA from 1 species